rnacentral:tRNA from 1 species
GGGCCGAUAGUGUCAACGCCAGCACGCGCGUCUUGCAAGCGCGCAGUCCGGGUUGAAAUCCCGGUCGGUCCACCA